rnacentral:rRNA from 1 species
AUUGGGAUAAUCUUGCCAGUAGUCAUAGGCUUGUUUCAAAGAUUAAGCCAUGCAUGUGUAAGUAUAAAUAAUUUUACUUUGAAACUGCGAAUGGCUCAUUAUAUCAGUUAUAGUUUAUUAGAAAUAUUUUACUACUUGGAUAACCGUAGUAAUUCUAGGGCUAAUACAUGAGUAAAACCUCAACUUCGGAAGAGGUGUGUUUAUUAGUAUGAAAACCAUAUAUCUUCGGAUAUAAUAGUGAGUAAUAAUAACCUUUCAUAUCGUAUGUCGUAAGAUAACGAUAGUUCUUUCAAGUUUCUGCCCUAUCAGCUUUCGAUGGUAGUAUAUGGGACUACCAUGGCAGUAACGGGUAACGAAGAAUUUGGGUUCGAUUUCGGAGAGGGAGCCUGAGAGAUGGCUACCACAUCCAAGGAAGGCAGCAGGCGCGUAAAUUACCCAAUCCUGACAUAGGGAGGUAGUGACAAUAAAUCACAAUGCGGAACUUUUAGUUUUGCAAUUGGAUUGAGAACAAUGUACAAAUGUUAUCGAUAAACAAUUGGAGGGCAAGUCUGGUGCCAGCAGCCGCGGUAAUUCCAGCUCCAAUAACGUAUAUUAACGUUGUUGCAGUUAAAAAGCUC